ACGCUCGACACCUACGGGAGGCAGCAGUCGGGAAUAUUGCGCAAUGGAGGGAACUCUGACGCAGUGACGCCGCGUAUAGGAAGAAGGUUUUCGGAUUGUAAACUAUUGUCGUUAGGGAAGAGAAAGGACAGUACCUAAGGAGGAAGCUCCGGCUAACUACGUGCAAGCAGCCGCGGUAAUCUGAGCGGGCUGGCAAGGC
rnacentral:rRNA from 1 species